GGCGGAAUCUGGGUCCAAGCGCCAGCUCCACCACGCACUAGCUGCACGACUCUGGACACGCUACUCACGUCCAGGAGUCAGUUCUCACACCUCUGGGUGGAGGCCCGGAGUCCCACCAAAGGCCGUUUUCAAACUUCAAAAGGUCCAGGAAGGCAGGAAGAGCAGUAGUGAGUGAAAGCUUUCCAGCAACAGAUUCCGAGGCAGCUAAUAAUCAGCGAGGCCCCUACGCCAACCGCACGGCCAACCGCACAGCCGGGCCCUCCGCUCAGCAAAGGCUCCCACUCGCGCGGGGCCGGGCUGGGAGGUCAGCAGCAGACACCAGGGCAGUCGCCCGUCCACCCCUUCCAGCCCCAGUCACCUGGAACGUCCCUGGUUCACUCCUGAGACGCAGCAGGGCUAACAUGUCUAAGCUCCAGGCUCCCGACAACAAGGCAGACGAAACAGUAACUGCUGUGUACAAAGCAACCAGCGGCUAGAGGGGGGACAGGCCUCUCCCCGACCUCACCACGCUCUGAAG